CAUCACGGCCACCACUGGCAUUGGCAAGCAAACUUACAAAAUACAUCUGUAUCUUAAGUUGCUCUCGCCGCCGUCUCUCUUCUCCCUCCCGCAUCUCUCCAAAGAGCACGUGCUCAGUGGAUCUAACUCACGCGUACUGGAGCACCGAUAGGCAGACAGACAGACACACACAGAAACGCGAAUCUACUCGAAGAGAACCCGAUCCUUACACAUACGCAUACAGCCGCUGACCCUCUUACUCACGCAUAUACGCUCACGUGUACAGAAACGCCCGCGCAUCUAUACGCACGCACAGAUAGAGAGAGGUGCUCAUAGAACCUACUGCACCUGAGAAGGAGCUAGCCGCUACAGCUGUGCCUUUCUCGCUCACGCCCCCGCCCCGCAUCGCUCGCCACUGCCUCAUUUCGCUCAUAGUCCUCUCUUCUCUCUUCUCUCUUUUCUCUCGCGCGCGCUUGAAUGUCCUUUCCUUCUCUUGCGCAUCGUCGCCCUCCUGUCCUACUACCCUGUGAGCGGGCUGUCUUGCAAGCACCUAGCAGCAACGAAGCGAGCCACACGCACCUCCAGAGAUAGAGAGAGACACCCGUACACACGUACACACACGGGCAGAGCGAAGAGAGUGAGAGACGAGGUCUUUGUGCUCAUUUUAUUUCCUUCAAAAAGAUCGACCAUAGAAACCUGCUCCGUAGGGCCCCCCCCCCUCCACCCUCUCCUCACCGUAUUCGUACCCACGUACGCCCCCUCCCCGCUUCCCCAAAAGAAAAACGCAGACAAACACAUACACGCAGGAUGCUUGCUUCGACCCCUGGCAGCAACUUCGGGGGCGCCGUUGCAUCCUCGAACAACAGUGGUGGCCAGCAGCCGCAGCGUCGCAUGCACCCAAUUCGCCCGCUCACCAUCAAGCAGAUGUUGGAGGCUCAGAGCGUUGGCGGUGGUGUUCUGGUCGUGGACGGCCGCGAGGUGACGCAGGCGACCGUCGUAGGCCGUGUGUUGGGCUACGAGAACGCCAACAUGGCUUCUGGUGGUGGCGCCAUCACUGCCAAGCACUUUGGGUACCGAAUCACCGACAACACGGGCAUGCUCGUCGUGCGCCAGUGGAUCGAUGCGGACAGGAUGCAGGAGCCCCUUCCCCUUAACACGCACGUCCGCGCGUCUGGCACAGUGAAUGUGUGGCAGCAGAACCCCAUCGUCACCGGCACUGUGGUGAGCAUGGCGGACAGCAACGAAAUGAACUACCACAUGUUGGACGCCAUUCUGACGCACUUCCGCCUGACACAGGGCAACAAGCGUGCCCCGAGCAGUGGUGUCUCGAUACAGAACACGGCCUCGGCCGUUGGCAUGCACAAUAUGCUGCCUGGAGGCGACAUCAAGGUGCUGCUGACAGACCUCCUUGUCUCUUUCAUCAAGCAGCACGGCAGCAGCGGAGCUGGCAUGUCGAUGGAUGAACUAACGACGUCGGCGCAGCGCUACGGCUUCACCCAUGGCGAUGUGCGCACUGCGAUGCGGACGUUGGCAGCGGAGGGGAAAGUGUACCAGACCCACGACAACCGCUUCAACAUCUGAGCAAAUACACGCAUCGCCGAAUAUCACCACCACCACCAGUACGAUUCAUGCACGCUCUCCUCAUCUGCUGCCGUUAUUCCUCCCUCCUCCCUCCACUCGUCAGACCCCUGGUGACGGGAAGGGGGCACACACACCUCUCGGUGCAUGGCAUCUCAGGGCCUCCCGUACACACCCACCCUGCCAAUGCCGGAACCGCUUGUGGCGGUGCCAGGCUCAAGUACCUAGCAUGUGCGGAGGGGUCACAGCGAUGUACCGCCGCUGGUAUGCCGGCGGUCAGGCGCUGGAUGGCGCGGCAUCGCGGGCGACCCGCGACGGUGCACACGCUUGCGCAUCCGCAUGAUGGGCACAGCGCCAACCGAGCUCGAGCGUAUCCCACCCGGCCCUCACUGCCUGCUGAUGGGGAGCCUGCGUGCCACGCCGAGGAGGAUGCACCAGGUGGCGACCGGCAUGAGGGGAGCCGGCUGCGAGGCGGCCCGCGGAGCGGUGGCGCGUAGCGUGUGAGGCAGAGGCCGUGCUCUCAGCUGACUGGGACGGCGCACGGCUGCAACGCGUGUGCGAACGGCAUGCUUCGCACCAGGCGACGGGGCCCGCGGCCGACUGGCGGGGGGUGGUGGUGGUGUGGAGUGGUGUUUGACUCCUGUUGCGUCAGGCAAAAAAGGGGCACAAGUUGGAGAGAGGACUGACGCUACGCGUCAGUCCUCUCAGCCCCGACCUUCCUCUCCUUUGCGUGUGUCUCACCCCCCCCCCCCUCCCCAGCGGACCUCGUCGGGCCUUGCCCGGUGUGGUGUGCGGGUCUGUAUGCUUUUCCGCAUGUGUUUGCUCUUUGUAGCCCGUGCGGUGCGCUUCAGCGCUUCCACCUCCCCCCCCCGUUUUUCCGCUUCUCUUGUGUGCUUGCGGACGUUUUCCGUUGGGGCCGUCUAUUUUGUUUUGUGCGGCGCUCGUAAAGUCCUGAGAUGCACGGACUAGGAAAUGAGAGGAGGGGGAGUGUGUGGAUAGCGCCAUCACCCAACCUAUCUCGCCGCCUCUUGUUUAUUUUUAUGGGGCGGUCGCUUGUAGUUCUCUCUCCCUCCUCUCCCUCUUUUUGGGCGCUGAUGAUGAUGGUGAUCGUGAUGAUGUUUUAUUUCGUAUACAGCGUUCUCGUUUCUUCCUGUGGCCGUUGCGUGGAAUACUCCGUUGAGGUACGCCGUGGUCUAUGAGCUGGCUUGAGCGAGGAAUCGGAAGCAACCCAUCGCGAGGAGUGCGCGCCGGCAUGAUAUGUUUUUUUCGGUCUCUCACUACCAAGACACUGCCGCUAAUGGUGCCUUGCGCGGGGCAGAAGCAACGACAAUCAACCAGCGCCACCCCCUUCCUCCCCUCGCCUCCUUCCCCUCU
rnacentral:misc_RNA from 1 species